CACGAGCUUAUGACUACCAUAAAGAUAAUGAAGGACAUAGCGCUGACGAACCAGGUGCCGAUGUUGAAGCAGUCCUUGGAGGUGUUUGUGUUCCGGCAGGAAAGCUGUGCUCACUCGUAACAAGUGUCUGGAGGCCUUCUGAAUGGGAAACCUUAAAAACAGGGACCUUCAUGGAUUUUUUCAGAAAAAUGUCAGAGGCUAAUAUCUGAUUUAAAAAUGGUCACUAGGGAAGUACAAUGUAGCCAGUGAGGUUCCAUCUAUGAAUCUAAGCGCUUAAAGCGUUGAAUGGCCUGCAACGUUUUGCCCUGAUAUCGGAGAAUGAUGGUGUCCUAGAUGGACCAGGCAGUCGGAGCCCGGAGGCCUUGGUGACCGGAUCUUGUUUCAAGCUGCUUUUGCAGACACAUCAUUUGCAACCACGGACUGGUUUCCGGUUGACGGAGAACGGAAGACUUAAAGGAGGCCCUGGGAGUGCUAGUUAAGAGGAUCAGACUGGGAGGCCCCUCUUAGAUGUUCUUCAAAGCUGUCAUCAAGGUUGGCAAUGCAGUAUGUGGCCACCUUUGCCAGCACAGCCCCUGAUCUGCAAACUGCCGUCAACCUUCUGAAACUGCUUACAGCACUUGUGGAGAAAACUGAUGACAAGUGCUCCCGACGGAAGAGUUUCUGAAGCGAGAGUGGAAGGACUUUAAUGGGGGAGAGCCAAAGUUCAAUGAGUAGCUACAGUUCCUUAUCAAACGUUUGAUGGCAGAGGAAACCAUGGCUCUUGCAUCAAGUAUGGGCAUCAGUUUGUGGAACUUUCCUUGCGAAACAGUAUGCCGCUACUUGAUCACAUGUUCUGGGCACACAUGCAUGACAUCCACUGGCUCCUGAAGAACCUCCAACAGAGCAUGUGGGCUCUACAUCAUCUGUGUGGACACUCCAAGGUUCUUCUAUAAAGAAUGUAGCUGUCAACCGUGCUGUUGAUCAAGGAUAGCACUGUCAUUUUAGAGAAUCUUCACAAGGUCACGUGAUAAUUCCCACUACACAACCAUCAAGGAAGACUUCCCCCAUCCUCUAACAUGGAGGUUUUACACAGUACCAGCUCUGGCAAGCAACAUAACAGGAGUGGAAUUGAAAGAUUGGAUAUUCAUUAUAUUUGGCGUGCCGUCCUUGCUGUUGACUGUCUCCCACCUGCAUUGAGCAUCUACCUGCUUUGAGCAUCAACCUGCUAUGAACAUCCACCUGUUUUGAGCAUCAACUUGCUUUGAGCAUCAACAUGCUUAGAGCAUCCACCUGCUUUGAACAUUAACCUGCUUUGAGCAUCAACCUGCUUUGAACAUCAACCACAAGCAGUGUUUAUACAAUGUAUUUCGUAAUGAUUGUUAUGUUGAAUAAAAUGAAACGCUGGGAGAUAUAGUGCUUGGACCAAUCCAUAUGACAGGCCAUUGAUACAUCAUUAAGUGGGGUAGUUGUUCAAAACAUUCACACCGAAUCAAUGCGUAUGUUUUAUCUGCUUGUGCUCAGGGUGAACUAUAUUGUUGUAGCUGGGUUGUUGUUAGAACACUACCUGUUAAAAGGUGUCUGAGAAUGAUUGUCUGGAUAAAAUUUGGCUCAAAAACUAGGCCACAUGGUCUCUCAUGAAAACCCAUGUAAAACAAUAUAGACUUCAUACCUUUCAACACUUUUAAAAUUAAUGUAUUGAAUUUUUUAAAAAUUCAAAUAUGAGUUUUAAGGCUAUUUUAGUCGUAUUUACACAAAAGAGAUAAUAAGUAUUUCACUUUGUCAAAUGUGAAAAAGCUACAAGCUGUAUUUUUCCUUGGAUUCACAUAAAACUUAGUCAGGAUGUUUAUAUAUUUAACCUUGAACCUGGACGUUUUGAUAAACAACUGUUAGAUUUUUAAACAAAAAGUUAUAGACUAGUAAACUUUUCAUGAAAAAAAAGUUUCUUUUGGGAGAAAGAAAAUGAGGUAUCCAUCAAUGUCUUACAGUACAUGCUACCUUUUCUUCUAAAAAGUAAUGUAGGGUACCAGUCUAUUCCGAACGUCUCAUUUGUUUUCGGUCAAGCAGUUUAUAAACGGUUGGGCCUUCAGUUUCCGCACAAUUUGAUUAAAAUGUGUACUUAUUUUGGAAUCACGGCUACAUAGAUUUGACUUGUACGUAUACUUUAAGUAAACCCUUAUGAUCAUCAAACAA